rnacentral:rRNA from 1 species
CCUACGGGAGGCAGCAGUGGGGAAUAUUGCACAAUGGGGGAAACCCUGAUGCAGCACGCCGCGUGAGUGAUGACGGUCUUCGGAUUGUAAAGCUCUGUCUUUGGGGACGAUAAUGACGGUACCCAAGGAGGAAGCCACGGCUAACUACGUGCCAGCAGCCGCGGUAA